CCUACGGGUGGCUGCAGUAGGGAAUCUUCCACAAUGGGCGAAAGCCUGAUGGAGCAAUGCCGCGUGAGUGAAGAAGGUCUUCGGAUUGUAAAAUUCUGUUGUUAGAGACGAAAGUGCGUGAGAGUAACUGUUCACGUUUCGACGGUAUCUAACCAGAAAGCCACGGCUAACUACGUGCCAGCAGCCGCGGUAAUACGUAGGUGGCAAGCGUGAUCCGGAUUUAUUGGGCGUAAAGGGAACGCUGGCGGUCGUUUAAUUAUGAUGGGAAAGCCUUGGGCUUAACCGGAGUAGUGCAUUGGAAACUGGGAGACUUGAGUGCAGAAGAGGAGAGUGGAACUCCAUGUGUAGCGGUGAAAUGCGUAGAUAUAUGGAAGAACACCAGUGGCGAAAGCGGCUCUCUGGUCUGUAACUGACGCUGAGGUUCGAAAGCGUGGGUAGCAAACAGGAUUAGAUACCCCAGUAGUC
rnacentral:rRNA from 1 species